rnacentral:rRNA from 1 species
CACGUAGGGCGCAAGCGUUGUCCGGAAUUAUUGGGCGUAAAGAGCUCGUAGGCGGUCUGUUGCGUCAGGAGUGAAAACUCGGGGCUUAACCCCGAGCCUGCUUCUGAUACGGGCAGACUAGAGGUAUGCAGGGGAGAACGGAAUUCCUGGUGUAGCGGUGAAAUGCGCAGAUAUCAGGAGGAACACCGGUGGCGAAGGCGGGUCUCUGGGCCGAUACUGACGCUGAGGCACGAAAGCGUGGGGAGCGAACAGG